ACCUGGUUGAGUUGGGCUGAUAUUAAGCUGGUGUGGUAAGUGUAAGGUCCUACACAAGAAGGGUCCAAAUAAUAUACCGCAUGGCGCCGGCCAACCCAAUCAAGGAAGCAGUGCGAAGUGCAACAGCUUCGAGGUGGGGCAAACUGGAGGAGGGAGAGACAAGUGAUGGAGGUGGAGGAGGCGGUAGUGAUGGAGAUAGGACCCGCAUCCAAAGCCACAGAGUUUACCUUGUGUGGAUACUGUGUUUUGAUUUCUAAUUCAGUGUUAUAUAGAAAAUGUUGGGUUGUUCUGUUUAAUGCUUCAGCCUAAUCGGAAGGCUGUGUAAAGUAUCCCCAGGAUUGUCACCAUCAAAAAAAUGUUUCGUGCGCAGACAUUUGUUUGAAGACACCAUGGCAGUUCGCAGCAGAUCAAGUUUGAUCGUAAUGUUGUCAGACCAAGGGAGAUUCUGAACUAGAUGAUUGUUGUCACUUGAGGUGUGCUGGAAACUCGGAACUACUCCACUUUCCUCGGUUGCCAUCUGGCUGGUCCCGACAGAGAACUGACCAAGCAAACCCUAUCCUGGGUCUUCUGGUUGAGCUUGCAGUCCUUAGAUCUGAUGCUGAACUUGCAGGGGGAAUUGUAGUAUAGAUGGUCUCUAUACUGCCCAUUACCGAAUGGCUGCAGUUAAGAACCAGAUGGAAAUUGCGCCCAGCACCCUCCAUUAAGCAUCUGCAGAAUACAAAAGUAGAUUACUGCCUGACAUGUUGUGAAGGGUUUUAACAUAUUUCAUUGUACUUCUGGUAACUGGGGAAUCCUGCACAAGUUCUGAAAUUUGGAUUCCAUGUGCCAUCUUAGAAACUUUCAUCGUCCUGAAACUAGGAGCAUUGAGAUGAUACUGUUUCCUGACAAUAACGGGUGAAAUGUGCCUACUGCCUAGUAAUGUAUGUAGUUCAUGUAAGUCCCACAUAAAAAAUAUCCAUUUAUUUCAUUUUUGGGUUUCCUUUUCGACUUUCUUUUUAGCUUGAAGAAUUUGUGAUGGAAAGUAUUCCGAAGCGAAAUAAUCUUUAUAGCAAAUGAUGUUAUGCAAAACCUACAUAGCAAGCAAGCUCUGUAUGAUGCUUUAUUAUUUGUAUUUUUGUUUUUACAGUUUAUUAAUUUUUUUUGUCAAAAUGUUACAGUAAACAGAAAAAAGUAUCAACCAAAUGAAACUUAAGUUACUCGUUGCAAUAUAUUGCAAAUAGAUUGGUUAAAUUUGAAAGCAGAUAUAUAAAUUAAAUUCAUAAGUGAGGUAUGAAUGAUGGGUUACUGUGAUUUUCUGCAAAUAGCAUUUUUCUUGUAGAACAUACACAUCAUACUUAGAGUAGACAGAAAAUGAAAAAAAAAUGCAAAACUAAAUGGCUCUGGAUUUUCAAAUAUGCAUGAUACAUAUUUGAAAAAUUUAUACACCAGAAAUUCCCACGUUAAACAUCCUCUUGAAAAGCAUAAAGAAAAAAGACAGAAAAAGCACUGAUUUUGUACAAAGAUUGAUUCUUAGAUGAUCUCUGCAAUCAAAGAAUUAAAAUUGGGACUUAAGAAACAAGGUGGGCAUUGUCCUUUAUUCUUGGAGAACCUUAUUCACUACUCUCUGCUCCAUAAAACUCGAUAAUCCAGCUAAGUUGGUUCAUCUCGCUCUUUGAACCUUGAGCUGUUUCUACUGGUUUGAUCCUUUUCUUCAGCAUCAGAGGAAGUUGCAUAUAUGGCAACAAACACCGACCAAGAAAUUGCUCCACUAAAUGAAAACAACGACCAACCCAAAGAUUUG